UAAUAAGAUGCACCAUUCAUAGGCGUUUAUGGAUGUAAAUAUGCAGGAGUAUGAAAAGAACAGUAAUCUUUUGACGACUAGGGAACUUGAAUUUGUCACGACGCCUCUUGUGCAUGAUGGCUGCUGUCUUUACAGCGGACACAGAAAGGAGAAUCUGACCAAUGUUCACUGUGGCGCAUGCACCUUGUGGUUUCCCAUAUGCACCCGUCAUCGCAGUCUGGAGCCUAUCAGCUCCAGCACGGUGCAUGAAAGCAUAUUGUUUAUCCGCAAAACAUGGAAUUGGUGCACCCUCGCUCUCAAAUGGAAUGGAAAUAUGGAAUGCAUCCUUUCCAGCAUAUUUGCCAUUUUACUUGUUGCAGGCAAUACGAGCAGCUUCAUUUUCCUUCUCCCAACUUACAAGGAAGACAUAAAGGAAACUCAUAAACACCUUCUUGAAUUUACCGAUCCUAACUCAUCCAAAAGCUAGCUUAAAG
rnacentral:misc_RNA from 1 species